rnacentral:lncRNA from 1 species
CAAUAUGCGAUCUAAUGAUCAAGGAGGAUUCACAGGCUUGAUCAGGUGGCUUGGAGGUUUGAUCAGGCAUGAUCAAGCAUGCAGAUGCAUGAUCUGAUGGCUAGAAAGGCAAGCAGCACUAAUUGGACAGUCCAAACGUAUGUGGAGUCUGAUCAAAAGUGUUUCUUCGAUCAAGAAUGGGUUUUGGGGCCUAUAAACAGGCCUAACGGUAGAGAAGAGAUACAAACCAAGAGAGAGCAUGGUAGAGGGUCUCAGGG